AAAAAAAAAAAAAAAAAAAAAACUUGAUACACUUUAAAACUGUAGUGAACAAAUUAUUAGUGAAUUUAAAAGAAAAAAAAAUUGAAUUUUUAAGUAGGUUAUAUUUGUUUCUUAAACAAAUAUAAUAAAUUACCAAACUCCGAUAAAAUCAUAAAUCAUCAUAAUGUGAUUGAAAAGAAUAAAACUAGUUUAUCUAAUAUAUUUAGGGCAAACAAAAAUCAUCGGAAUCCGUAUAAUAUAUUUUAAUGUAAAACAUUAUUAUUCCGAUACUGUAAAAAAAAAAAAAAAAUAAUAAAUAAACUCUUGGGAAAUUAAAUAUCCGAUUUCACGAACCGACAUCCGAGUACCUACAUUAAAAUGUGUUUUUACGUCUCUGUUAUUUGACAUUUUAUUUUAUGAAUUUAUUGCCGAAAAAUUGGUUGAAAUCAUUAUUAUUACUGUUAUUGUUGUUGUUGUUGUUGUUAUUUUCUAGGGUCAGAUUUGAAUUUCGAAACAUAAUAUUGCGCGCGUUUUAAAACGCUGGUCGCGGACUAUGUUUGUUCGACGGUAUGCGUACGCUUACCGAGGGAUUCACUUUUUCCGCAAAAAAAAAAAAAAAAAAAAAAUGUAAUUGUUUUCGAGGAUUAGAGGUAGUCUCGCGGCGCACUAGUGUCGAGUUGAAUUUAAACCUUAUCGUUUUCAACCGUAUGACUAUACUUGUUGUACGAGCGCAGUCCCGACGCACG